CCUACGGGCGGCAGCAGUGAGGAAUAUUGGUCAAUGGACGAGAGUCUGAACCAGCCAAGUAGCGUGAAGGAUGACUGCCCUAUGGGUUGUAAACUUCUUUUAUAUGGGAAUAAAAUGUUCCACGUGUGGGAUUUUGUGUGUCCCAUAUGAAUAUGCAUCGGCUAACUCCGUGCCAGCAGCCGCGGUAAUACGGAGGAUCCGAGCGUUAUCCGGAUUUAUUGGGUUGAAAGGGAGCGUAGGUGGAUUGUUAAGUCAGUUGUGAAAGUUUGCGGCUCAACCGUAAGAUUGCAGUUGAAACUGGCAGUCUUGAGUACAGUAGAGGUGGGCGGAAUUCGUGGUGUAGCGGUGAAAUGCUUAGAUAUCACGAAGAACUCCGAUUGCGAAGGCAGCUCGCUGGACUGCAACUGACACUGAGGCUCGAAAGUGUGGGUAUCAAACAGGAUUAGAUACCCCAGUAGUC
rnacentral:rRNA from 1 species